AGAAAAGUACCCUAUGAAGUUUAGUGUCAUGACAUCGGUCCUGUGGUGUAGCGACAUCACUACGAUGGAGACCAAAUUCUUAUGAAGGGUGUUUUUGUCUACACAAUGUGUUUUAUUCAGCCUAAUGCCCUGUAUUUUGACAUAAUUGGGGCAGAAACAAUUGCUUAUAAACAAUAAUGUUUAGGUUAAGCUAAAGAGGAUGUUUUUUUAUAAUAGAC
rnacentral:lncRNA from 1 species